rnacentral:rRNA from 1 species
UACGAAGGGGGCUAGCGUUGUUCGGAUUUACUGGGCGUAAAGCGCACGUAGGCGGAUUGUUAAGUCAGGGGUGAAAUCCUGGAGCUCAACUCCAGAACUGCCUUUGAUACUGGCAAUCUUGAGUCCGGAAGAGGUGAGUGGAACUCCUAGUGUAGAGGUGGAAUUCGUAGAUAUUAGGAAGAACACCAGUGGCGAAGGCGACUUACUGGACGAUUGUUGACGCUGAGGUGCGAAAGCGUGGGGAGCAAACAGG